rnacentral:rRNA from 1 species
CUUUCGUUGGCAGAGACCUUCCAGUACACUAGUAGCUCUUCUUGUGGUGGUACUCUAUACACCCGGGCUUGGAGUAUAUCCUCCUCGUUGUGUGAUACUCGCCCUAAUUCUUGGGGGGCCCCGCGGGUAUCUUACCAUAGGGGUACCCCUUUAUCAUAGACCUCCUGGUGGUUAACCCCCUAAGGGGCCAAAAAGCCGCAUACUAUCAAAACCGCUAACCUUGAUGAAAAAGCCGCGGGAACUCCGGCACACCCGGUAUCCGAGGGCCAACCGUUAACUCGGAAUACCUGGGGCGUAAAGCCCAAUUAGCCGGCUAAAUCAACGCAGAAACGGUGAAAGCCCCACAGCUUAAACUGUGGGACCAGCCUUCCUAAACUGGAUUAACAGAGUCUGGGAGAGAAGAUGGAACUAGUACUGUUAGGGUAAAUCCGUAGAGAUUACUAGGAAUACCGAAACGAAGCGAUCUUCUGGAACAGUACUGAACCCUGAGAUGCGAAAGCUGGGGACAAACAGGAUUAGAUACCCUGGUAGUCCACGCCCUAAACGAUGAAUGUUAGUCGUUGGAGUGCUAGCCACUUCAGUGAUGCAGCUAACGCAUUAAACAUUCCGCCUGGGGAGUACGGCCGCAAGGUUAAAACUCAAAGGAAUAGACGGGGACCCGCACAAGUGGUGGAGCAUGUGGUUUAAUUCGAAGAUACGCGAAGAACCUUACCUGGCCUUGACAUAUACCAGAACCUACCAGAGAUGGUGGGGUGCCUUCGGGAACUGGUAUACAGGUGCUGCACGGCUGUCGUCAGCUCGUGUCGUGAGAUGUUGGGUUAAGUCCCGCAACGAGCGCAACCCUCGUGACUAGUUACUAACAGCAUAGGCUGAGGACUCUAGUCAGACUGCCUUCGUAAGGAGGAGGAAGGUGGGGACGACGUCAAGUCAUCAUGGCCCUUACGGCCAGGGCGACACACGUGCUACAAUGGGGAGGACAAUGAGAAGCGAAAUCGCGAGAUGGAGCAAAUCUAUAAACCUUCUCUCAGUUCGGAUUGUAGUCUGCAACUCGACUACAUGAAGCUGGAAUCACUAGUAAUCGUGAAUCAGCCAUGUCACGGUGAAUACGUUCCCGGGUCUUGUACUCACCGCCCGUCACACCAUGGGAGUUGAUUUCACCCGAAGCGGGGUAUGAAUAAGUGACCCGCCACGUGGA